AGUCAGGCUGCAUCAGCUGAAGCUGUUAUUUGUAUAUAUCAGUAUUUUUUAUUCAGGUGUGGGGAAAAUACGUAAGACUGCAGUGAAGCGAUGCACCAGAUUAAUCCCUGGCCAAAGAACAGUUCUCCACAGUCGCUGUCCACAUGGGUCAGUGGGACCAAGAAGCACUCUGCUAAUGUGGGACUCUGACCAGCAACAUCCAGCAAGACCCAGACAGCGUUUUCUAUCUCCCAGCUGCAGUUUUUGUUUGUCAGUGACUGGAGAGUCAGAUUUUUGUUGAGCUUCACACUUGCAGAGCUAAGUCAGUUUGCAGAGAUCCCUCCCACCCUGGCUUUUAUGUGCUAGAUUUCUUAUCUGAAACAGUAAUAUUUCAGUGACUGCUGCUUAUACCACAGGUUAAUACACGCUACUGAUCCCUGAUGGGAGAAUCAUCAAUUUUGGCAACAAAGAAGCCUGGUGGAUGUUUGUUUACAGUCUGAUGAUGGGACAUCAUGCUCUGCAUCUUCAAAGUUUGCCUCCUCAUUAUUAUUCAUACCCAGUAAUGUGAAUCUUUUUGCAGGAUCAGAAAACAAAACCAGGAGGCGCGUAAAUGUUUCUUCUCCAUGAUGUUUCUCCAAAUGUUUCUUCUGGAUGAUGAUAAGACUGUGACACGGGAUGCCACCUUUGGUCUUGUGAUGAAGCAAAGCUCAGGAAGAAGUGGGAUUAAAUGGUACCCACAUGCUGAGAAGGAUGUACA